rnacentral:tRNA from 1 species
GGCGAUGUAGCUCAGUUGGUUAGAGCGAGGGAUUCAUAAACCCUAGGUCGCUGGUUCAAAUCCAGCCAUCGCCA